UGCGAAAUGGCUAAGAGCAGUGAGAACACUCCUAAGGUACUUUGUUUGCCGUGGUGAUCUGAUAGGCUCCUAGGGAAAGGUUAGGUUUAGACUCA